UGAGGAAUUCUUGCGCAAUGGGGGAAACCCUGACGCAGCAACGCCGCGUGGGUGAAGAAGGCCUUCGGGUCGUAAAGCCCUGUCGGACGGGACGAAAGUUCCGCGGGGCUAAUCCGCGGAGCCUGACGGUACCGUAGGAAGAAGCACCGGCUAACUCUGUGCCAGCAGCCGCGGUAAUACGGAGGGUGCAAGCGUUGUUCGGAAUUACUGGGCGUAAAGCGCGUGUAGGCGGCCUUGUAAGUCAGAUGUGAAAGCCCUCGGCUCUUCCGGGGAAGUGCAUCUGAAACGGCGAGGCUUGAGUACCGGAGAGGGAGGCGGAAUUCCCAGUGUGGAGGUGAAAUUCGUAUAUAUUGGGAGGAACACCGGUGGGGAAAGCGGCCUCCUGGACCGAUACUGACGCUGAGACGCGAAAGCGUGGGGAGCAAACAGGAUUAUAUACCCUGGGAGUCCACGCGGUAAACGAUGGGCACUAGGGGUGGGGGGUAUCCACUCCUCCCGUGCCGCAGCUAACGCAUUAAGUGCCCCGCCUGGUGAGUACGGCCGCCAGGCUG
rnacentral:rRNA from 1 species